rnacentral:rRNA from 1 species
GGCUCAGGACGAACGCUGGCGGCGCGCCUAAUACAUGCAAGUCGAGCGAGAAGGUGUAGCAAUACACUUGUAAAGCGGCGAACGGGUGAGGAAUACAUGGGUAAUCUACCAUCGAGUGGGGAAUAGCCAGCCGAAAGGUUGGCUAAUACCGCGUACGCCUCCGGAUCUUCGGGUUCGGAGGGAAAGCCACACUGUGAGUGCGGCGCUCUUUGAUGAGCUCAUGUCCUAUCAGCUUGUUGGUAGGGUAACGGCCUACCAAGGCUUUGACGGGUAGCUGGUCUGAGAGGACGAUCAGCCACACUGGCACUGCGACACGGGCCAGACUCCUACGGGAGGCAGCAGUAAGGAAUAUUGCGCAAUGGGCGAAAGCCUGACGCAGCGACGCCGCGUGGGGGAUGAAGGUCUUCGGAUUGUAAACCCCUUUCGGGAGGGAAGAUGGAGCGAGCAAUCGUUCGGACGGUACCUCCAGAAGCAGCCACGGCCAACUUCGUGCCAGCAGCCGCGGUAAUACGAGGGUGGCAAGCGUUGUUCGGAUUCACUGGGCGUACAGGGUGUGUAGGCGGUUUGGUAAGCCUUCUGUUAAAGCUUCGGGCCCAACCCGGAAAGCGCAGAGGGUACUGCCAGGCUAGAGGGUGGGAGAGGAGCGCGGAAUUCCCGGUGUAGCGGUGAAAUGCGUAGAGA